rnacentral:lncRNA from 1 species
GAAUUACAUCUAUCAGUUACUGGAUUGAAUACCAAGAGAGAGAAUCCUUCACUGGUUAAAGUGAACAUAUUAAGGAUCAACUCUGUGGGGGGGACAAAGGCAGGGUUUACAACUACCGGUUAUUGGGUAGAAGACCGCAAAGAGAAGGAAACCCGUCAUCGGUUAGGAUGAACAUAUCAAGGAUUAACUCUCUGGGAAAUGAGAAUAGGGAUUACAACUACCUUUUUACUGGGUAGAAUACCGAAAAGAGAAU